rnacentral:rRNA from 1 species
GGGGCAGCGGUGGUGAAGGCUUGCCUUUACCAGCCGGCGACCGGCGCACGGGUGAGUAACACGUAUGCAACCUGCCUGCCACAGCCGGAUAAUCGGGAGAAAUUCCGUCUAAUACGGCAUAAUGCACCUAUGGGACAUCCUGUUGGUGCCAAAGGUUGAUUCCGGUGGCGGAUGGGCAUGCGUCGCAUUAGUUAGUUGGCGGUGUAACGGACCACCAAGACGACGAUGCGUAGGGGUUCUGAGAGGAAGGUCCCCCACACUGGUACUGAGACACGGACCAGACUCCUACGGGAGGCAGCAGUGAGGAAUAUUGGUCAAUGGGCGGGAGCCUGAACCAGCCAAGUCGCGUGAGGGAUGACGGCCCUAUGGGUUGUAAACCUCUUUUGCCGGGGAGCAAAGUGCCGCACGUGUGCGGUUUGGAGAGUACCCGGAGAAAAAGCAUCGGCUAACUCCGUGCCAGCAGCCGCGGUAAUACGGAGGAUGCGAGCGUUAUCCGGAUUUAUUGGGUUUAAAGGGUGCGUAGGCGGACGCUUAAGUCAGCGGUAAAAUUGCGGGGCUCAACCUGGGAGAGCCGUUGAAACUGGGUGCCUUGAGUGGGCGAGAAGUACGCAGAAUGCGUGGUGUAG